AACGAACGCUGGCGGCAUGCCUAACACAUGCAAGUCGAACGAUUGCCUUCGGGUGAUAGUGGCGCACGGGUGCGUAACGCGUGGGAAUCUGCCCUUAGGUUCGGAAUAACAGCUGGAAACGGCUGCUAAUACCGGAUGAUAUCGCGAGAUCAAAGAUUUAUCGCCUGAGGAUGAGCCCGCGUUGGAUUAGAUAGUUGGUGGGGUAAAGGCCUACCAAGCCGACGAUCCAUAGCUGGUCUGAGAGGAUGAUCAGCCACACUGGGACUGAGACACGGCCCAGACUCCUACGGGAGGCAGCAGUGGGGAAUAUUGGACAAUGGGCGCAAGCCUGAUCCAGCAAUGCCGCGUGAGUGAUGAAGGCCCUAGGGUUGUAAAGCUCUUUUACCCGGGAAGAUAAUGACUGUACCGGGAGAAUAAGCCCCGGCUAACUCCGUG
rnacentral:rRNA from 1 species